GGUGAGGCCAGUGGGGCAGAAGAAACCUUCACAACAAGGUUGACAAUCAGAAGUUCUAAAAGGGAUUUCAUCUUUGUUUUUUAGAUCAACUUCAGUGUCUUUUUCAACAGAACAAGCCCAACCAGAAGCCAAGAUCAUCCAUGGCAUCCUCAUGGAAAAGUGAGGAUAUAGAAUUGAAUCGACUAUAGAUUAAUUUGGUGGCUUCGUCUAAUUUUGCGGGAUUUCUCUUUAUGGUUUCGGGAUCAGGGUACUGUUGGGCGGUGGCCAGGUGAGUUAAAGGCGCCGGUGAUUUUAUCCCAAAUAUUAUCGCAAUGAAGAUGGUGAAAAUCAGAAUGUUGGUCAUCCUCUUCCUUUGAUCCUUUGAAUCACCACCUGGAAAUGCGAUUUCUUGUCAGGAUCUGAUUGUUGUUCAUUGGAGCGUGAAUCGGACCUUGCGCAUGAUUCAAAUGAAAAAAAUCUGUUAGGAUUUUGAUUUUCCAUUUUUGUUUCUUGUGUUUGGUGGAUUUCUUCGGAGAAAGAAAUGGAGGGGAGAGGAUGUAGGAAGAGGAAGGAGGAAGGGAAAGUGAUACUGGUAGCUUGUAAGCCUGCAACGACAGCUUUUACUGAGUCACGGUCUUCGUGGCUUCUUUUGGCUCGUCAAAUUCAUAUGUUAUGAAACGGUUAAUAUGUAAGGAAUUUAUAUGAAUAUACACUUCAAUAAAAUAGUCAUGUCAAAUAAGAUAAUCUUUUAAAUUUCA